GACGAACGCUGGCGGCGUGCUUAACACAUGCAAGUCGAACGGAAAGGCCCUGCUUUUGUGGGGUGCUCGAGUGGCGAACGGGUGAGUAACACGUGAGUAACCUGCCCUUGACUUUGGGAUAACUUCAGGAAACUGGUGCUAAUACCUGAUAGGAGCUCCUGCUGCAUGGUGGGGGUUGGAAAGUUUCGGCGGUUGGGGAUGGACUCGCGGCUUAUCAGCUUGUUGGUGGGGUAGUGGCUUACCAAGGCUUUGACGGGUAGCCGGCCUGAGAGGGUGACCGGCCACAUUGGGACUGAGAUACGGCCCAGACUCCUACGGGAGGCAGCAGUGGGGAAUAUUGAACAAUGGGCGGAAGCCUGAUGCAGCAACGCCGCGUGCGGGAUGACGGCCUUCGGGUUGUAAACCGCUUUCGCCUGUGACGAAGCGUGAGUGACGGUAAUGGGUAAAGAAGCACCGGCUAACUACGUG
rnacentral:rRNA from 1 species